rnacentral:tRNA from 1 species
GCUAAGAUAGCUCAGUUGGUAGAGCAUGGGACUCUUAAUCCCUGGGUUGUGGGUUCAAGUCCCAUGUUAGGCA